rnacentral:rRNA from 1 species
CCCUUAGAUGUUCUGGGCUGCACGCGCGCUACACUGGUGCGUUCAGCGAGUUUAGCACCUUAACAGAUAUGUUUGGGUAAUCUUCUGAAAACGCACCGUGAUGGGGAUCGAUUAUUGUAAUUAUUAAUCGUCAACGAGGAAUUCCUAGUAAGUGUGAAUCAUCAGUUCGCGCUGAUUACGUCCCUGCCCUUUGUACACACCGCCCGUCGCUGCUACCGAUUGAGUGGUCCGGUGAAUUAUUCGGACCGGUGGACUGUGGGGAAACCUGCGGCCUGCUGGGAAGUCUUGUGAACCUUAUCACUUAGAGGAAGCAGAAGUCGUAACA